AUUGAACGCUGGCGGCAGGCCUAACACAUGCAAGUCGAGCGGAGCGGCGGACGGGUGAGUAAUGUAUAGGAAUCUGCCCGGUAGUGGGGGAUAACGUCCGGAAACGGGCGUUAAUACCGCAUACUAUCAUAUGAGCCCAGGGCGGACUAGCUAGUUGGUGGGGUGAAGGCCUACCAAGGCGAAGACCCGGAACUGGUCUGAGAGGAUGAUCAGUGACACAGGAAAUGAGACAAGGGGCAGACUCAUAGGGGAGGCAGCGUGGGGGAAUAUUGGACAAUGGGCGAAAGCCUGAUCCAGCCAUGCCGCGAGUGUGAAGGAGGUCAUCGGAUUGUAAAGCUCUAUAAGUUGGGAGGCGUUACCAGCAGAAUAAGCACCGGCUGACUUCGUGCCAGCAGCCGGGUAAUUC
rnacentral:rRNA from 1 species